UCCUAGAAGAACAUUGAAGCGCUUGAC
rnacentral:piRNA from 1 species